rnacentral:rRNA from 1 species
UACAGGGGGGGCAAGCGUUGUUCGGAAUUACUGGGCGUAAAGGGUCUGUAGGUGGCUUACUAAGUCAGACGUGAAAUCCCUCAGCUUAACUGGGGAACUGCGUCUGAUACUGGAUGGCUUGAGUGUGGGAGAGGGAUGCGGAAUUCCAGGUGUAGCGGUGAAAUGCGUAGAUAUCUGGAGGAACACCGGUGGCGAAGGCGGCAUCCUGGACCACGACUGACGCUGAGGAGCGAAAGCCAGGGGAGCAAACGGG